rnacentral:rRNA from 1 species
AGAUUGAACGCUGGCGGCAGGCCUAACACAUGCAAGUCGAGCGGUAGAGAGGUGCUUGCACCUCUUGAGAGCGGCGGACGGGUGAGUAAAGCCUAGGAAUCUGCCUGGUAGUGGGGGAUAACGCUCGGAAACGGACGCUAAUACCGCAUACGUCCUACGGGAGAAAGCAGGGGACCUUCGGGCCUUGCGCUAUCAGAUGAGCCUAGGUCGGAUUAGCUAGUUGGUGAGGUAAUGGCUCACCAAGGCGACGAUCCGUAACUGGUCUGAGAGGAUGAUCAGUCACACUGGAACUGAGACACGGCCCAAACUCCGUACGGGAGCAGCAGGUGGGAAUCGUUGACGCGAAGUGGGACGAAAGCCGUAGACCGCAGCCCAUCGACCGCGUGUAUCGAUGAAGUCUUAGGAUUAGUAAAUU